UACAGAGGUCCCAAGCGUUGUUCGGAUUCAUUGGGCGUAAAGGGUGCGUAGGUGGCGCCGUAAGUCGGGUGUGAAAUUUCGGAGCUUAACUCCGAAACUGCAUUCGAUACUGCGGUGCUCGAGGACUGGAGAGGAGACUGGAAUUCAUGGUGUAGCAGUGAAAUGCGUAGAGAUCAUGAGGAAGACCAGUGGCGAAGGCGGGUCUCUGGACAGUUCCUGACACUGAGGCACGAAGGCCAGGGGAGCAAACGGG
rnacentral:rRNA from 1 species